UACGGAGGGUGCAAGCGUUAUCCGGAUUCACUGGGCGUAAAGCGUGCGUAGGUGGUUUGUUAAGUCUGUUGUGAAAGCCCCGGGCUCAACCUGGGAAUGGCAAUGGAUACUGGCAAGCUAGAGUGCGGUAGAGGGUAGUGGAAUUCCCGGUGUAGCGGUGAAAUGCGUAGAGAUGUGGAGGAAUACCGAUGGCGAAGGCAGCCCCCUGGGCCAAUACUGACGCUCAUGCACGAAAGCGUGGGGAGCAAACAGG
rnacentral:rRNA from 1 species